rnacentral:rRNA from 1 species
GACGAACGCUGGCGGCGUGCUUAACACAUGCAAGUCGAACGGAAAGGCCCUGCUUUUGUGGGGUGCUCGAGUGGCGAACGGGUGAGUAGCACGUGAGUAACCUGCCCUUGACUUUGGGAUAACUUCAGGAAACUGGGGCUAAUACCGGAUAGGAGCUCCUGCUGCAUGGUGGGGGUUGGAAAGUUUCGGCGGUUGGGGAUGGACUCGCGGCUUAUCAGCUUGUUGGUGGGGUAGUGGCUUACCAAGGCUUUGACGGGUAGCCGGCCUGAGAGGGUGACCGGCCACAUGGGGACUGAGGUACGGCGCAGACUCCUACGGGAGGCAGCGGGGGGGAAUAUUGCACAAUGGGCGGAAGCCUGAUGCAGCAACGCCGCGUGCGGGAUGACGGCCUUCGGGUUGUAAACCGCUUUCGCCUGUGACGAAGCGUGAGUGACGGUAAUGGGUAAAGAAGCACCGGCUAACUACGUG